AGGGAAUUUUCGGCAAUGGGCGCAAGCCUGACCGAGCAACGCCGCGUGAGUGAUGACGGCCUUCGGGUUGUAAAACUCUGUUCUUCGGGAAGAACGAAGGAGAGGUGAAUAGCUUCUUCUUGUGACGGUACCGAAGGAGGAAGCCCCGGCUAACUACGUGCCAGCAGCCGCGGUAAUACGUAGGGGGCAAGCGUUGUCCGGAAUUAUUGGGCGUAAAGGGCGCGCAGGCGGCUGAUUAAGUCGGAUGUGAAAGGCCACGGCUCAACCGUGGAGUUGCAUCCGAAACUGGUUGGCUUGAGUGCAGGAGAGGAGAGCGGAAUUCCCGGUGUAGCGGUGAAAUGCGUAGAGAUCGGGAGGAACACCAGUGGCGAAGGCGGCUCUCUGGCCUGAUACUGACGCUGAGGCGCGAAAGCGUGGGUAGCGAAC
rnacentral:rRNA from 1 species